rnacentral:hammerhead_ribozyme from 1 species
GCACUGCUGAGGAGUCCAACAACAGGGCGAAACGGCUGUCCAGUGC